rnacentral:rRNA from 1 species
UACGAAGGGGACUAGCGUUGUUCGGAAUCACUGGGCGUAAAGGGCGCGUAGGCGGCUUUAUAAGUCGGGGGUGAAAGCCUGUGGCUCAACCACAGAAUUGCCUUCGAUACUGUAGAGCUUGAGACCGGAAGAGGUAAGUGGAACUGCGAGUGUAGAGGUGAAAUUCGUAGAUAUUCGCAAGAACACCAGUGGCGAAGGCGGCUUACUGGUCCGGUUCUGACGCUGAGGCGACGAAAGCGGUGGGGAGCAAACAGGG